UCCGCUGUCGACCUUGUCAAGCACUAUGUUUUGUGCUGAUAAGACCAUUGUCGAAGAACACUUACACUACGAUAAAUAGAGCAGUGGCAGAGCUAUUGUGUCUCGAGCUCGUUUGGCUGGUUGAUAGGUGGACUAGAGUUAAGUUGAAGAAAUCUAAGCUUACUAUUCCAUUUUUUAUAUUACAUCAUUUGUUGAUUGCAAAGCUUAUUUCUUACAUAUUUUCAAAUUUUCGCAGUCUCCGAUCUCUAUUAUGUUUGAAGAACAGAUAUGUAAUUGAAAGUCGAGAUCAUAGUAAACGUAAUUCCGAAUAUCUAGUAUCUUAAAUAAAGUUAGUUAUUGCCAUUAAGAGUGAUAAUAUAGUUGGUGAUACACCUUGGAAAUUUCAAUCACUAAAUAUAAAAAUUGUUGGAAAUACACAUGUUUUUACUGGUGAUAAAGAGGGGAAGUAGUUUUGCAGUUGCUAUAGCAGCAACAGCCGGUGAAGUAUCUGAUUUCAUUUUGGUGUGGAUCAAACCUAGAUCUUGAACUAGCCCUGCAUUUCAAUUUUCAAUGGAAGAUGAGAGGGCAAGGCAAGAAGCAGCUAUAAAGAAGGUUGCAAAAGAAGCUGCACAGCAGGAAAAUUGUUAACAUUCUGCAUUACAGGAUGCUACCAUAUUUGAAAAUGUGGACACCAGAACGACUUAAUCUGAAAAUGAAACAAAAGACCUAAUGGUUAAACUCUCUUUUACACUUCAUGCCUUGGAUUUUCUAAGUUUUAUUUGUUUGCAAUAGUGGUAAGACUACAAUGGCAGUGAGUUUCAAUUUUGAUGAUGAUUUUCCAUAUGUCAAAAUUGUAAGUGAUUUUAUAUGUUCGUGCUGAGCAUUUAUAUAUUUGUUUUCAUUAUUUCCUCUCAUAUUCUUAUUCUUUUAUGUGUUUCUGAUUUUAAUUUGUUUCUUUGUUAGAUAUCUGCUGAUUUGAUUAUUGGCUUACUGAACAAAGAAAAUGUGCUCAGCUUGUCAAGGUAUUCGAUGAUGUUUAUAAGUCACAACUACACAUAAUUAUCCUCGAUGAUAUUGAAAGGUAACUAUUGUUGACUCUACCAUUCUUGCGUAAUCUUUGUUAUUAACUGCACUCUGUUGGAGUAUGUUGCCAUUGAACUCCGAUUUUUGGAUGUGAUUUCUCAAACAUUGUUGGUGCUCAUGUAACGAAUUAUUUUGAAGGGGAAAAACAUCCAUGUCUUUGGAACUAUAAGUUAGGUAACUUUCUUAGAUUCAAAUAGCGUCGAAUCACACCAACACCACAUAUGGCUCACGGUCACGGACACUGCAUCGCCAUGUAGAAUGCAGCUUGGGUCAACAAAAAUUUUGGAAAAAACCGGAUGCACAUAACAAUUUUUCACAGAAAGAUUAGAGACACUCACAAGAUGGUGGACCCCAUGCGUAUUAAAAUAUUACAAAAAAAAACCCAACCACCCUCUAUGUGUGUGUUCUGUACCAAUUCUGUAGCCACCAUUUCUGUAAGUGUAGCUUUGCUCAAAAAUUUUCUCACCAAAAAAAGUCCAAAAAUCACUGUCGAACUUAUGUGCCCUCUGCAAAACAAACUAUAGCCAGACCAUAAUCCAAUAUUCUAUAUAUGUUGAUUCGUAUUUUCAUAUCAUCGCCACAUACCAAUCUUGAAAUCCGACUCCCUCUUUGAGAUUUAGAUGGAUCAUUUGAGAUAUUGCAGUUAAAGAUCAUAGCAAAUAUAAGCCAAAUUUGUAAAUCAUUUACAGCAAAAACUUGCCUGAAAUUCUUGUAAUGCAGUAAACAAGAGCAAAGAUCAUGCCACUAGAUGCCCAAGCAAUACCUUUGUAAAGAUGUGAAAAAGAAUUGGGAAACGUAAGGCUACGGUUGGUUUGGCGUUUUUGGGUCAUUUUUCGUUUUUCGUUUUCGAAAACACAGAA